rnacentral:rRNA from 1 species
GAUCAUGGCUCGAGGACGAACGCUGGCGGCGUGCCUAACACAUGCAAGUCGAACGGGACUAAGUUUUCGGAUUUAGUUUAGUGGCGAACGGGUGAGUAACGCGUGAGGAACCUGCCUUUCAGUGGGGGACAACAGUUGGAAACGACUGCUAAUACCGCGUAAUGUUAUUAGGGGGCAUCCCCUGAUAACCAAAGCUUUAUGUGCUGAAAGAUGGCCUCGCGUCUGAUUAGAUAGUUGGUGAGGUAACGGCUCACCAAGUCUGCGAUCAGUAGCCGGUCUGAGAGGAUGAACGGCCACAUUGGGACUGAGAUACGGCCCAGACUCCUACGGGAGGCAGCAGUGGGGAAUAUUGGGCAAUGGGGGAAACCCUGACCCAGCAACGCCGCGUGAAGGAAGAAGGCCUUCGGGUUGUAAACUUCUUUUAGUAGGGACGAAGAACGUGACGGUACCUACAGAAAAAGCAACGGCUAACUACGUG